UUAAAUUUACAUUUACUUAUAGCCUGCGUUAUCAACAGACUACCUCGUCUUUCAUAGAAUGUUAUUUAUAGCCAUGUCUGUCCUAUAAUGAUUUAUGUAUUUAUGUACAAACUAAGGUUAAAUAUUAUAUGUUAGUUCGUGGUAAUACGAAGUUCUUUUGUUAUCUAGGACCGCUGUAUAACCGUUCGGUGACUUAUAAGCAUACCAUACGUUGCUAGAGAUGUAUGGCUAACAUCGCUAGUUCUGAUUGGCUCUCUGGACUGUUUAGACAAUUUGUUGUUAUAAACGUGUUUUUGAAAUGUUUUACUAUUAUCAUACAAUUAUUUAAAUAAGAUAUUUUAAUUAAAAAAAAGGAAUUCACAAUUGUCAAUCAAAGCUACCGAUCUUCGCUAUACUAAAACAAAGUAAAAGUUUCUAGUACUAUAUGGUAUCCUUAUUUGCUACCCUAUGUUGUCAGUUGUUGUAUAUUUGUUUUUCUCGCGUUUGUCACGUUAAAGAUUUCAAUAAUAUUUUCAUUUUAUGAUUUACAGUAUUUAUAUUAUUUAUAUUAUUCAUCAUGGAUAAGUUUUUAAUAAAAGUUCUUAAUACUUAAAUCUGAGAUAUAAAGCAUGAUUAUAUUUGAUAAUGCACUCCGACCUGUAUACUACUGUUUCCAAAGAAGGUCAACCAGUAGAUUAUGAAAUCUCUUUGACAAAAGUUUGGCACUCCGUACAUAUCGGUCAAACAAUAUAGACAUAUAUGAAAAGGGGGGAAAAUAUUCAAUAUCAACCCAAUAAGUAUAUUAAAAAUAAGGGCCUGUCCUUUUCAAAAAGGUAUUAGCUACCAGAUAAAUUUCAAUUUCAUAACUAUCUAACUAAAUUAUCUACAGAUUUGCAAGAACUAUAGUGUAGUAAAUAUGUUGGUAAUACACAUUUCAUAGUUUAAACCACAAUUAAAAUAUUGUUAAUAACACUUUUUUAAUGAAUACUGUGUACGUAACGGAUAGAUGUCGGUUAUACCGUGUAAAUAUGUUUCUAAAAAAAAAAAAGUGAUAAAAAAGGCACUAAUCUACCUGCCUUAUAUAUACUUUAAAUUGAAAAAUUCAUGUCUCUAUAACUUAUUUUCUUGUACGUAUAUAAAUAUUUGAAUAUUUAUUUAUUAAGAAUACGCAAUGAUUGCCAGAUCAUUGUCGUCUAAUUAAAUUGUUACAUUACUAUUAUUUACAAUAUUUAUAUUAUUUUUAAAUAGAAUGGACAUUUUUCAAAUGUUUAUUUUAUGUAUGAUAUUUUUCAAUAACUUUCCAAUAUUAUUCAAUAUCCACAUUAGUAUGGCGUAUAUAGGGGUGCUGAUAAUAAGAUAGCUCCAUUUGUCGGAGAACAAAAACACGUUAAAAAUAUAAGAUAUAUUAUUUUAGUUAUAAGAGUUAUGCUAAUUAGGAUGUACUGCUAUAUGUAUUUGUUUUUGAGAAAUAAUAAAUUCGUCAUCUUACCUCGUAUGACUUUAUAUCAAUGUUUUGUAAUAACCUGAGGGUGAAUUAAAUUGUUUAACUAACAUAUAAUUUUUAAGACCCGAGGACUGUUUAUUUAAUUUUUUAAUUUUAUAAUUUUUUGUAAUACAUUACAGCUGUAAUAUAUUUAAAAAAACAAUCUAGAGUGUCGUUUUAAUCUUAAUAUGUAUAUAAUGAACUUAAGAAAAUACAUUUU